GCAGGACAAACUUUUCUGCGUGUGCCAGUGUCUUGUUUGGGUCUUCCUCAGAGUGUUUGCCACCAUUCGGUUAGAUUGCAAGUCAAUAAUUCUAUCUUACGUCUCGCUAGAUGAAAAAGGAAGGAUGCGUGAGGGACAAUGAUAAAAAAAAAAGAAAAAAGAACACACCAUAGACAUCAGCUGAAGACACUGUUCGACUCUUGGGCUCUCUAAUAUCAUAAGCCGCGCCCUAUCCGAUGCAGCGCACACCACAAAAGAAAAAGGCACGAGACAAAUGGACCCAUACAUCUACAUCUUACGGUGACAGCCAUGGAUAUAAACCGCAAAAGAGACAACGUCCGACGCUUUCAGUCCAAGCCAAGGAUCGUCUUAAUAAAUAUUCGCCCCAUAGAAGAGCGACAGGACGGUAAGGGAUGUGUGACACCAGCAUCACCAAAUGGGAAAUCUUCGCAAUUUUGGGGCUAUACAACAAUAGCGCCCCGUUACGUACAAUCGAUUUGCCAGUCAAGCUGAAAUCUCCAUACAGAGUACGCCAAAGGCUCAUUAUCGAUUUCGCGCUGAGGUGGACAUAGCUUUAUGGUAUAGAUACUUUUUUCUUUUUUCUUUCCAUAUCACGCGAACAAUUCGAUUCUUCUCCCGUCAGGGCGAACCUGAUAACGCCCCCCCAUCACGAUCACGUCACGAGAGCUGUGCAGAGAUUUUACGUUUCGUUUUCGAGUGAUGAUGGGACUCGUCUUAUUACAAAGGAAGAGCUAUUGAAAAUGAAUGAAUGUCCGUGCGAAACACCCAUUUCUUUCAUUUUUUUUUAAUGUUGUUUAUUUUUUAAAGGGUUUCAAGUGUUACAUCUUUUUGAUCAAAGCGUUAGAAUUCAACUCUUUCCACACGUGAAUUUCAGUAAAGAAGCUUUUUCUCAAAACAUUACAGCCCGCCAAUCAUAUUUGCACAAUUUAAACUUGGGCGUGGAGGAAAAGUCGCUACUAUACGUGCUCGCAGAACAAGUACGUCGCACACGCUUUUCAUCCUUAACAGGUGCAUAUGCAUGAUAUCACCAUUCACGAUGAUUUCCGUCGGAUAAAUGGCUGUCGCUCGUCUGCGUAGGAAGGGUAACUAUGACAACAAGUCUAUUUCAGUAGUUUCUAUACCGCAUUCAACUAAUUGUACCAACAUUAACCUUUGUCAGGUUUUUUUUCUUUCAUUUUUACUAUAUUCAUACCACAUGAACAAAGAUUGACAAAAGCAGUAUGUUAAAACGCUGUUUGGUUCUCAACCCCACACGUGCGUCUGACAUGUAUGAAGUUUAUAGAUAGACAACUACUGCUCCAGAAAAAUGACAAUAUACCAAGCGCAUUCAUUUCGUCGGACAUCUUUCUUUAAAUAUAGACAACUUGGAUCGUCUUCGAUUUUCAAUUAGGUUAAUACACUUUCUCUUUGUAACGUA